CUUCUGUCUUCUGCCCCCUCUAUUUCAAAUUUAAAAAAUUAAAAAUUUUUUUUUUAGUUACGACCACCAUUUUAUUUUCAUUUUGUUUUUUUUUUAAUUUUAGUUAAUUUUCAUUAAGUUUGCUCAAAUCAUGUUCGAUUAAAUUACAAGUGCUUAAACCUAAAAGUAUGUGUGUACGUAUGUAUGGACUAAAAUAGUUAACAAAGUUUGGCAAUCAGUUACAGUUAGUGAAAACGAAUUCAAGAACCCAUGUAGGCAUGUGUGUAGUACAACCAAAACAACAACAGGAAAUUGAAUAAGUUUUAAUAUACAUAUGCAUGUUUUAUGUAUGUAUUUUUGUUUUUGGUUUUCUUAUUCGAUCAUGCGUUGGCCGCUGAGAGUGUGGCUCAAUGCGAUUAGUAGAAAUGCAACAACGUGUAAAACGGCCCAAAAAGAGCCGCCACAACCAAUAGAAUAUCACACCAAAAAUGGCAGAGUACAACAAAUCCAACAGAUACAAGAUUAUAAUUAUAUAAAGUGAGAGUAGGUGAGUGUGUAAGAGUUUUUUGUGUGUUUGGAUUUUUUUUUUUUUGUAAGGAGAGUUUAUUUGAGGGACGCGGACCUAACUAACUUGGUAGGGGACACGACACAGGUCCUGCUCCUUCCUGCUGCUGUCGUCGUGCCUUGAGGCUGGGCUCUAGCUCGGUGACUGUACAGAGUGCUCUCGCUGGUGUCCGGGGCGUGGGCUUUGGGUACAACAUUCAUAAAGUUUAUCUACCUCAGCGCUACCUAAGUUGUCGUUGUCGUUUUGCUAGCUAACAAAAGUACAAUAACUGUGUAUAUAUAUGUAUAAAAUUACCAACAAAUUCAUAAAUUAUUGUUGUAAUAUGUUUAGAAAAUAGUGUCCAUAUAUCAUCGUCCUGUUCAUCAUCCUUCGUCUUUACACUUAUCCUCUAAUGCAUUUGAAGAAUUGACUACAAUUAAAUGGCAAAAGUGUGCCAUAGUUUCUGGUUUUCUUAAAUCUCCUUAAGAUUUCAUUUCUUUUCUUUUGUUUUAUAGAGUUUCCUUGUAAUUACAUACAUUACACAUACACAUGCAAUACACAAUAAUCAUUUUAAUCGUAAUUAUGUUAAAUGUAACUGGUAACAUCAUGCUAAAUACAAUAUACCUCCAUUAUAGACAGAUUCAUUUCCGUUUCCCCAUCUCAACAGGCUCAAAUUCCUUUGAGCCCCUCUGGCCAUCCUGCCACCUGCCGCCUGACUCCUUAUACGCAUUCCAUUACAAUUAUCAGAGAUUUGACUUCUAUAGCAAAUACAUAAUUUUUUAAAAAUUAUUUGGAGGGAAUAUUCAUGAUUUUUUCAAAUAUCGUUUAUAUUGUUGAUCAUGCUUAUAAAAAAGUCUGAUCUUCGUGAAAACAUUACGUUUUUCCCAUUUACAUUUUCUCUCCAUAGACUUUGCUAUGAUAUUGUAAGACUGGUAUAAACAAUGAUUGAGUCGAAAUGAAAAAAUAAGGAUUACGCGUAUUUCGUUUAA
rnacentral:lncRNA from 1 species